UGUCAAGCAGCUACAUAGCACUGCUCACUUGCUUAACUGGGCAAAAUACCUGCUGUGGCAGCCCUCUGCCUUGACUGCCUCCGGGAGAAAGUUUCUUGGGAAUGGUGUGACUCAUUGCACAGCCAGAGGUUAUAAUGAAGUAUCCCACUCAUCCUUUAGCUCACCCUUUGUUCAAGACAAUGCAGAUUGCAGGAGGUUUCUGAGGAGGAGAAUCUGGGAUAAGUUGCUGGGAAGAAGGAAGAAGGAGAACAGUUCUAUUGGAAAGAAUGUCUUGAUGCUGAUAUGAAAAUGAUGUGGAAGUCAUGGGCUGAAUUAAAUAUUUUUCCAUGGUGGAAAAUUGAUGGGAAAGCUUCC
rnacentral:lncRNA from 1 species